UGACAACAGGUGGAACACAAUGGGGUCACAAUCAGGAGUGUAAUUUAUAAUACAACACUGUACUAGCCAGGCAAAAUGAGUUUUAACAGAUUAGUAUUAAACAUAUUCAUAUGACUUUUUCAGGUUAAAAUCAGUUUUGUAUAAAGUAAUAGGUUUUAGUAUUAAUGUGGCCAUACAUUACACAACGAUAUGAUACCAAUCUGUGUUGUACCGAAAUCAUUGAGAAAUGCAAAACAUAUUGCACUAUGUCUCAACGGUGUUACAUACAUGUUAUUACAGGCAGAGCGGCACACAGGUGUGCAGGCAGACAAAGGCACAGAUUACACUUAUCCACUCGAUGACAAUGAUGUAAUGACAUGCCAGGGAUUUUUGUGAGGUAGAGAUGGAUGUUCUGUUGUUGAAACCCUGAACAGGAACAGCCAAAAGAAGCAAAGAAAGCUGUGCAUCUUCAAAGGACCCAACUUCCGAGGUGCACACAUGAAGGUGUCCAGGACACACCCAUGGACCUUCAGAGUGGCAACAAAGAGCAAAAAUUGUGCGUAAAUUAUUAAAUAAUUUUUGCAAAGGCCAAGACCUUGAUUCUGAGAAAAAGAAGGCCUGGGGUGUCAGCCGGCAUGCACGUGUCUCUGAACAAAGAAAGUGUAUUCUGUGGUCAAUAACUAUAUUUCCAUGUUUGCCAUUAUCCACAUAAACAUACAAUAAAAAUGUCUCUCACUCAGUCACAUUUUAUAUAUCAUUUUGC